CGCUGUAAAGGAUGUUUAUUGGGAGGUUGUGCCCUUGAGGCGUGGCUUCCGGAAGCUAACGCGUUAAAUAGACCGCCUGGGGAGUACGGCCGCAAGGUUAAAAACUCAAAUGAAUUGACGGGGGCCCGCACAAGCGGUGGAGCAUGUGGUUUAAUUUGAUGCAACGCGAAGAACCUUACCUACUCUUGACAUCCACGGAACUUAGCAGAGAUGCUUUGGUGCCUUCGGGAACCGUGAGACAGGUGCUGCAUGGCUGUCGUCAGCUCGUGUUGUGAAAUGUUGGGUUAAGUCCCGCAACGAGCGCAACCCUUAUCCUUUGUUGCCAGCGGUUCGGCCGGGAACUCAAAGGAGACUGCCAGUGAUAAACUGGAGGAAGGUGGGGAUGACGUCAAGUCAUCAUGGCCCUUACGAGUAGGGCUACACACGUGCUACAAUGGCAUAUACAAAGAGAAGCGACCUCGCGAGAGCAAGCGGACCUCAUAAAGUAUGUCGUAGUCCGGAUUGGAGUCUGCAACUCGACUCCAUGAAGUCGGAAUCGCUAGUAAUCGUGGAUCAGAAUGCCACGGUGAAUACGUUCCCGGGCCUUGUACACACCGCCCGUCACACCAUGGGAGUGGGUUGCAAAAGAAGUAGGUAGCUUAACCUUCGGGAGGGCGCUACCACUCGGGUGCUGGAAGCA
rnacentral:rRNA from 1 species